rnacentral:rRNA from 1 species
ACGACGCUGGCGGCGUGCUUAACACAUGCAAGUCGAACGGAGAAUUUAUUUCGGUAAAUUCUUAGUGGCGAACGGGUGAGUAACGCGUGGGCAACCUGCCCUUCAGAUGGGGACAACAUCCCGAAAGGGGUGCUAAUACCGAAUACGAUCACGCUGCCGCAUGGCGGUGUGAUGAAAGAUGGCCUCUAUUUAUAAGCUAUCGCUGAAGGAUGGGCCUGCGUCUGAUUAGCUAGUUGGUGGGGUAACGGCCUACCAAGGCGAUGAUCAGUAGCCGGUCUGAGAGGAUGAACGGCCACAUUGGGACUGAGACACGGCCCAAACUCCUACGGGAGGCAGCAGUGGGGAAUAUUCCGCAAUGGACGAAAGUCUGACGGAGCAACGCCGCGUGAGUGAUGAAGGUUUUCGGACUGUAAAACUCUGUUGUUUAGGACGAAAGUGCCUGUUGCAAAUAGUUGCAGGUAUUGACGGUACUGAACGAGGAAGCCACGGCUAACUACGUG